rnacentral:lncRNA from 1 species
CUGUGCCUUCCACCAUGAUCAUGAGGCUUCCCCAGCCACACAGAACUAUUAUGAAGCAAUUUCCUACCUGUUUUUUUAUUUGAUCCAUGAACUUUUCAAGAGAUGUGUGCUAUUGCUGUUGUGACCAUUAGCUCCCAUUUCUCAGAUGAGGAAACUGAGGCUCAGUGAGCCUUAAAUGACUUGCCCAAAACUAUAAGGUCAGUUAGUGGUGGAACUUCUGCCUUCAAAUUUCUUGUCUUUUCCUGGAAGCAAUGUUGGCCCCCA